rnacentral:lncRNA from 1 species
UACUUUUCUUCACCUGCUGCAAAACCUGCAAUCCAAUUCCUAUUCUUUUCAACUGCAAGUUGCAAACAUAUAUUUAUAUAGACAGAGGAUAUAAAUAUAUUUUUAACCCUCUCCAAAAAUGUGGCGGUGGUGAUGGGAUGGCCGCCGGUGGUGGCGGAAUCUGAUGGGUGUCGAGUGGCGACGGAGGUUGGCGCCACUGAGGAAGCCGGAGCAGAGAUUGAGUCGGAGAGAGCCGAGAUCGAGACUGAAUCUGGGAGACUGGGAGCCGAGAUCGAGAACGACGGUCGACGACGACGAGUAGGGUGAAGAAUGAAGAUGCUUCGUAGUUAAUCAACCACGAAAAGAGUGAUCUGAAAAUGGGAUCUGAAUAUCUGAUCUGAAAAUUGAAAUAGAGAAAUGGACUCGAACUCGAUAGACUUGGAGAGUUACACUCUGUUUCUGAGUUUUGAACAGAAAAGAAAAGAAUAGAAAAUAUAAAUUAGAACAGAAAAAAAAAUAAUAGAAAAGUUAAAGUUUUCAUUUGUAUUGUUUCUUAGUUUUUAAUGAAAAACAAUAAAAAAUUUACAAUUGAGGACAUGAGUUGUAAUUUAAAAUUUAUUAUAUUAAAAGUUGAGGAUAAUAUAGGAA